UACGAAGGGGGCUAGCGUUGCUCGGAAUCACUGGGGGUAAAGGGUGCGUAGGCGGGCUUUUAAGCCAGGGGUGAAAUCCUGGAGCUCAACUCCAGAACUGCCUUUGAUACUGAAGAUCUUGAGUUCGGGAGAGGUGAGUGGAACUGCGAGUGUAGAGGUGAAAUUCGUAGAUAUUCGCAAGAACACCAGUGGCGAAGGCGGCUCACUGGCCCGAUACUGACGCUGAGGCACGAAAGCGUGGGGAGCAAACAGG
rnacentral:rRNA from 1 species